GUCCCCUUCAGCUCUGUUCAGCCAGCCUCCAGUCCAGGGUGCCCGCUCCGCUGCCUUUUGUCUCCUAUAGCCAUAGGAACUCGUAUUUUGCGCCAGGCCUAGCACUUCAUUCCAAGCAACUGUGCUGAGGACCAAAGGAUUAGCAAGUCUGCUUAGGCUGCCAUCAAAUCUGUGCCUGAGUGCAAUUUCACACAGUCCAUCAAGACCUGCAGGAUCUGAUGCAGCCCUUGUCUCCAGGCUUGUCUGUCGUUUCUUCUACCCCAGAGUCAGCAAAGAACAUGAAGCUCACAGAAUAUUAGAGAUGGAAGACACUCCAGAGUCAUCGCAUCCAAAUCUUCAUUUGAGAGAUAAGGAAACCAAAAGCCGUCAUUGCACCAAGAAUCACUGAGUUCUCCAAAACACGUCCCACAGAAAGGGUGUCAGAAAAGCCCUUGGACUCUAACCAUGCAUUCGAUGAGCUCACAAGUCUGAACCAUAAGUUUCCUGAGCAUCACUUAAAUAGCUUGUGAAAGGACAGGAAAUCCCACAAAAAUGGGCAGACAGAAAUAGAAGAUGGAAUUACAAUUCAGUGGUCCACACAGAGUUUUUCCUAGUGUGUCUUGAGCCAGCAACAAAGGGUGGCACUCAAGGCUCAGGGUGAAGUGAAGCACAGUAAGCUAGGUGAAGCAGAUGGGAGCUGCUCUGGAGAGACCCACAGCAGCCAUCCAUGUAGGACUCAUUUCCUGCUUUGAGCCAAAUGGGUUUAUCAAACGCAGCCUUCUGUACUGUUUUCUGGCCAGCAUGGAGAAAUGCACCUGGCAUCUGCCUAUGCAUUCUGUCUUUUUUGCCAAAUGCAGGGAUCUCCCUUUGGCUUUCAACAUGGAACACCCGGAAUCAGAUGGAAAAUCCCUCCAUUAGUCAAGUACAUGGGAAAUGCUCUCUGAAAAUGCUGUGGAAGAGAAUGACCGUCCACAUACACAAAAGUUCAAUUAAGUUCAUUUGUUCAUGGCUCAAGCCUAUGUGCUAGGAAUCAGGACUGACUGCCCAGUACCCUGAUUUUGGCUCCUCUGCAGCCUGCAUACAGAGCUGUAGGGGCCAAGGGCAGGCUGCCCAAAAUGUACCACUUUGGCAUAUUGAUUAUUUUGAAUAAAAGUUACUUAAGAGAUAGCCUGUGCAAGAAGGACACUCAGACAGUUCCCUGUCCCCCUGAAAGCAGGAAACAAAUCUCCCCUGUGAAAGCUACCCUCCCUGCACAAGAAGUAAAGAGACAUCCUAAUUGCCAGAG